ensembl:rRNA 5S_rRNA 5S ribosomal RNA
GCUGAAGAUUAGACUCCCUCAGGGAGCUUUUAAUAAAUGCAACGAUCUCAGAAGCUAAGCGGGCUCGGGCCUGGUUAGUACUCGGAUGGGAGACCACCUAGGAAGACCAGGCGCUGUAGGCA